UUUUUUUUUUUUGUAUAUUAUUAUAAAUAGGUGUUGUUUCGAGUGAUUAGAGGAAGAACCUCGUGUUGUUUUGGACCGUACCUCUUCCAGGCAUUGAUUCAGGGAACAAUAUCGAUAGCUCUGUUCCCGCAAAACAAAAAACAAAAACAUCCAUAAUUCUGAACCAAGUAAACAUUCGUUCCUGAUUAAACUGAUUUAUUUACCGAAAAUCAUCUGGGCCUGCGUAGGAAGCAAUAGAAAAUCGGCCUCUAUUUGUGCCAAAGAAGUUGACAGCUUAAUAAAACAAUACUCCAAUUAAAGAACAAAUGGUGCAACCAAACUCGACAUUCUCCAGCCCGUCCAUUCGCCAAGCACCUGUUGGUGAGGGGAGCACCGUCAACGUCUCCACCAUUGCCGCCGCCGUCCUAGCGCACGCACGCACGCACGCAUAAAACAAUCCGGAGGAAACGAGUAAUUUGUCGCUGUCGAACGCUGAUCAACAGCAAUGAGGAGCCAGACAAGCUUGCUCUUGUGUCCAUCGCGCGCGCAUCGGUUUCAAGAGCCGGAGCCGUGCAAGUGGCUUUCAUGCAGCGAGCGACUCGUCUCCUCUCGCCUCAGCAUCGGCGCUGCAGCCGCAGAUACCCCGCGUCGCUUUCUCUCCUACCAGUACCAGUAUCUAUCUAGCCAUGCCGCAUCCGGUUCUUGGCUCGCGUGACAGCGCGAGUGAGCCCGCUGCCCGCGGCGUUUCUCGGGGAGGCAUGGACGUCCGUCCGUCCGUCCGUCGAUGGGGCGAUGGCGCCAAGGGCUUGCAUUGUCGUCUCUCGUCCGGCUCGCGCCACGGCGCCGUGUCCAAGGUAAGGUACCGUGGCGGGCGGAAAGGGAUGGAUGCCCGUGAACAGCAGGGGAAUUUUGGCACGGUUUAGCAGUCUCGGCAUUUUCUUUGUGGAAAAAGCAAGAGCUCCAGAAGAGUUGGGGAUGGAUCCUACUUUGACGUGCCCGGGGAAAAGCAGGACGGGAUCUGCGACAUUCUACCACGCACGCCGUGCAUAUAUUCGACAGCGAUCGCAUAAAGGAGUAGCAGAAGAAAUCGUUAUUAUAAUCUUCCUCCAGAAGGCAGGAAAAGCGAUCUAGCAUUCCGCCGUCUGGGACUCGCGCUUCGCCGCCGUUCUCCGGCGACUCCCCUCCGUCGACGACCUCGGUCAUCGGCGCUGAGGGAGGUUGCCGGAUAGUUUUAGGCAAAAUUAGCUUAAUUUGUUAGGUUGUUCAUCGUCUAAGAUUCGGCGACGGCGGCGCUGAAUAAUUUUUUUUCCGGAUCCUACUCCGAUGAGACGAUUGGUCCUAUUAUUGGAGAUGGAUUUGAAAUCCAGUCUGUUCAAGUAAGGAUGGUGUGGCGGCGGGGGCAUCAUCGUGGUGGGCAUGUGUCUUCGGGCUUCGCCGUCGCAACGGCGUCUGCUUCAACGCCGGCGCGGAGCUUGGGAGGUAGUCCGGAAGCGAAUGCAGAUUGUGAUCUGCAUCGACAACAUCUAGAAGACGGAACGUGUGAUGGGUUCGUGGUUGAUGGAUGUCAGGUGUGAUUUCCUCCUUCGGCGUCUUAGUCGUGGUGGGGUGUCAGAUCUAGAGUUCGAUGACGUGUUCGAGGUGUUGUCCCGGUCUGAUUCGUUCAACGGCAAUGGCUUCACUUUUGGGGAGCCACCUUGGAGGUCCGCAAAGCUGCACAUCAGCAAUGGAGCUGCGUCGAGCUCGGGUGAGGAGGUGAUCCACCAUUCUAUACUUCGGUGGCUGCUGUGGUGGUGCCGGAGACAGGUGAUGGACGUCGGUGUCAAACUCAGAGAUGUUCUGCUAUCUUUUCAGUUUUGUCAUGUCGGUUCUUACGUGACUUAUAGUUCGAUCUUUAUCAUAUGAACGGGACACGUAUUACCAUGAAAGAAAAAAACAAAGGUUUGUGCAGCGUGACGAAUUCACCCUUGCACGGGACGGGAUAUCUGGAAUCGUUGAUCCAUCGUUCAUGUAAUCCAGACAGAAUAUUCCAACAAAGGGAUGAUGCAGCGUAGGAGUCUAUAGAUGACUGCUCUCUUGUUGUCCAAGAGCUAGCGCUCCUGCUGAAGCUCCCACUCUGCAUUUCGAGCGGUUGUAUUGUUCUCUGUACAAACCGCACGGUACGUAAAUCAAAAUUUGUUGCCGCUGCGGACAUACGCAGCGCCCAAGCAAGAAGAAAAAUGCACGCCACAGGUAUCAAAAUUCGAAAGAGAGGUCACAGCAUAUAGAUAGGCGGUUCCCAGCAUAUCACAGUUUGAUGAUUUAAAGGGCCAGACCACGAGCAGAGAACCAAGAGUCCAAGACGGUGCUAAAACAUGAAAAGAAAAAGGUUCCAACCGAAGUUAGAGACGAAGUUAGAGAUAAACCAAAUACAGCCUCGAGUGCGAACCCGUGAACGGCAGGGGAAUUUUGGCACGGUUUAUCAGACUCGGCAUUUUCUUUGUGGAAAAACCAGACCAUGAGAUCCGAAGCUGCUGCUUUCACGUGCUCGCUCGGGGAUCCGCUUUCCGCUUUCCACAACGCACGCUGCGCAGUGAUAAGGUUUCUGAAGCGUGACGAACUCGACCGUUGCUUUGGAGAUAUAUAUACUUCCUCCCUUGUGAGUUACUCCCUCCCUAAAGAAAUAUAUGAGCGUUUAGACCACUACUUUCUUUGUGUAGAUACUUGGAUAUGGGCAACCAUUGAUCCACAUCCUUCACAGAUGGAAUAUUCCAACAAAGGGAUGAUGCAGUGUGGGAGUCUAUCGAUGACUACUCUUUAUCAGAGAGCCGGAACAUGCUCCUGCUCAAGCUCCAAAUCGCGGCAAGCGUACCCGACACAAGCGAUUUAUACAGGUCAGGGUUUUUCAGCACCAAGUCACCAACACGGAACGUGACGAACUCGCCAUUUCCGUGCUUGGUCAAGUGCACAGGGAUUGGAUAUCGGAAUCGCCCAUCCCUGCACGGGGCAAGAUAACUCGCAGAGCUUACAUGGGGCGCCACGCCCUUGGACCUCAUCAAAGGUCAUAUGCAGCAACCAAAUGAUAAUAUCACACAGAUACUCACAGCUCCGAAAGAGACAUCACAGCAUAGAUAGGUUCCCAGCAUAUCACAGCAAACAAACACAUGCCAUGCCAAAUAUUCCACGGAUUUAAAUUUUUAAAGGGUCCAGGCUUGACCUUGACCACGCAAGUUCUCCCACAGAACCAAGACGGUGCUAAAAACAUGAAAGGAAGUUCCAACAAAGUUACAGAUAAACCGAACCGCCAGACCACAGCAACAGGCCGCUUGGCUCGGUUCAAAAUCAAUUGAGCCGGGCCACAGCGAGGUGUUCCUUCUCUUUUAUGCGAAAUUCCAGCCGGUACACCAAACAUUUCAGAACCCAAGACCGGAGCAAAAGAUAGUGGCGGGCCUAG
rnacentral:lncRNA from 1 species